GAUCAUCUGUGGUGUUUGUGACUUCAGGAUUAUACAAAUCUGCUUCUUUCUUAACUUCCAACUUUUGGUUUAGCUUUUCCUGCAGUUAACAGAUGAUUUUUUUUUACUAAAAAGUUAACUUAGGAAGUAGAAGCACUCAUUUGCUAUCAAGUUGGUAGUUUCAAACUCACCUUAGGACUAACACCACAGUUGUUGCGUAAAUCAAUGGCACUGCUUGCAAAUUCCGUACCAAACUUCAACUCGAAAAUCCGACGAAUCUCUUGAAGUUCUGGAAACUCUCCACAUCUUGAAGCUGCAAAGAUCAGACUGGAUAUCGCCUCCUUAACUUCACCAGGGCAUUCCCUGCAUUUAAGCCGAAAGAGAAUGAGAAAAGGUUUCAAAUCUUUCAAAAGGCUUGCAUUCAAAAAAGUUGACAAAAAUGACAUAGUGAAAUUCUACGGAAGAAAGGUGACCUACUUGUUCAUCUGAAAAAGAGCGACCUUUUCUACGAGAAGGCAGCAGUAAUCCUCUAUCAUUCCAAGAGCAUCCAACAUGUUAUUCUCCUUAAUCACAAUCUCAACCUGUUCAUUAACGUUCAUAUCCAAGCUCAGCAGUUGAAAAAAAGCGGGAAAAAGAGAAGGGGCUGAACUAUAGAGUUCUGAAAGAGAGAGAAACAAAUUACUCUAAGCUGAGCACGAUGUUGGUAACCAAGAUUCAAGAGCUGAAGAACGUCGGCACGGGCAAGGGAGCAACGGGCGCGGUGCUGGUUUUUUAGAAUGGAAGUCCUAGAAAUGGCCAUAUUAGCAAGGGUCUUAAACUUGGAAGGCUUCAAAUAUCUGUUCCUUCCCAGUAAAGCAUCCAGUUUCCUUCCCAUAACGGAAAAACCUUUAAUUCUUUUUGCUGCUUGUUUGCCUGUGAGAAAGCUCUUGAAUGAACUACUUUUUGGUUGUUGGUUGCGGACAUUGCGUAUGUUUUAUAGGGAAGAUGCAUCAUUAACUAUUUUACCAGAAUUCACAUGCAUAAUUUUUUUUUUUUUUUCCCUUAAAGCAGGUCAGAGAAUUGGCUCCCAUUUCUGACUUUGAAAUAGGUAUUGACUGGUGAAAUUUCCAGGUUUUGAAUGGUUCAAACAGAAUUGACUGUGGGGGCAGCCGGCUUUGGUCUGGAAAAUGACAUUACUAUUUGGAAAUGGGAAGCUUCUGAGCUUUUACAUGAGAUGAUUCAUUAAGAGAUAAGAGUGGUAGUUGAGGCUGAUGUGACAAAAAACGACUACUUUCUAUGCUGACAUUUGUAGGCAAGGACAAAUGUACAACAUAGGCAAGGACGGAUGUGUAGCAUGAGCAGUUAAUUUUUCACCUAAAGUAUGCCUAUAAAAGAAGCCAACUCCACCUUGAACAAGAAAUCGACAGAGAAGGCUGGUGAAAGGACGAGUUUUAGAGCCCUUAACCAUUUGUAGUAGUGUUCCUUCCUCCAUCCUCUUCUCCAUCCUCUGCUCUGAGUGAGAGUUUAGAGAGAGAUUAAAGAGAAAAGCUUCCUUCACCAUUUUUCAGAACUUGUAAAAGAGCCAAUGAAUGCAAACCAAUGCAUUCUGUGGCUCAACACAUUUCUCUACUUUCCAUUUUAUUAUUUAGAAUGUAUUGUAUGAAUGUACUUAAUCUUAUGGCCGAAAGGCCUACAUUUAUUAAUAUAAUGCAUAUUCAUCCA